CAGAGCUGUGGAAGGCCCUGUGUCAAACAUCCAAUUCCACUUUACAUGAGCAAGAAAUAAUAUACUUUCAGUAUGUUAAGCCACUGAGGUUCUGGGGUUAUUCAUUAUAGCACUCAGCUCCACCAUAAGACAAAAGACAAACUUGGAUUCCACCCAAUGAUGACAGGUGAUAGACAAUUUGGCAAAUUCCUCCCAGCGUUAAGUACAUUUACAAAUGAAAACAGAGUUCACUGAGAAUUGUAGGUACAGGUCUUGAAAGACAGAAGCAGAGUUCAGAACUCACAGGCUCUGUGAGGGAGCCACUCCUGAACAAGACUCCCCGGCCCCCCUGGGGGCUGACAAAGCCUUGGCAGACGGGAAACUUCCUGGGCCAAGCCCCCUGCUGCCCUAAUCACUGCUUCUGGAAAAUGAGAGCACCUCCGCAAAGAGUAUUUUUAGAUCAGCCUAAUUUUUAGAACAAACCACAUCUGAGUGCUCACACUCCAUGUGUACACUGUUACUGAUGCAUCUGCUAUUUAAUUUCCAUUAUUAAUAUUUACUACAAUAUGAUUAGUCUGGUUCUGAGCCUCUGAGUUAGAGGUUAUUAUAACUUUCCCAAGUAUCAAGCCCAUAAAGCAAAUACUUUUAUUCUACUUUCUCUCAACAGUUCUACGGAAUCUUGGUGUGGAAGCCUUCUUCUCUUGGGGUGUGUGCCUUUUGGGAUGAGGCUUUGGGAUCUCUUCCCUUACUGAUCUCCUUUUAGCAAAGAGGAAGAAAGAAACAACACUGGUGAAGGAACUCCGAUUGUCAAGACAACACGAUGCGUUGCUAGCUGGGGAGACAUUCGUGCAACUUACAGAGAGAUAUAAAUAUAUUAGUUUGGGGAUUGCUACUUUCAGAGCAAAUAUUGCAUUGUCACAAAUAUCAUACCCUCAAGCCAAGGACCUUGGGAGUCCAGAGGAAGGUCUUUUUACCAUCAGCAUUCUCUCCUGUGUUCAAGGACUGACAGCCAAAGAUGGCUAGAUCACACUCUAAUAUUUUUCCUCUGGAAGACAGAAUGAAGAUAUGACAGUGGUUCUGCAUGAGUUUGGAUAAUUAUAUUUUUCAUAUUGCUUGGCAGUUAAGAUUGACAACUACUGAUUAUUUAAGGUACUGUGUAAUCUUUAAAAAUAAUUCAAAACACAAAAGUAAUAAUUGGAUAUAAUUGCAAAACCAAUUGAUAUGGUCCCAGCACAUGCUUGAGUUUAUGGGCCUCAGUUUUCCAUCCGUAAAAUAAAAGGGGUGGAAUAAAUCAGUGUUUUUCAGUGUUUAUUGACCCAAGAUACACAUUGUAGCUCAUUCAGAACGCAUUUAUUCAUAUGGUAAAUAUUUAAUGAGCACCUACUAUCGUAAAUCAAAAAUGUCUUCUUCUAGUAGAGAAACAGACACCUGUCAACAAUUGUAUAAAUGCACGUACUACUUCUAUGCCUGGUUUAUAAAGGUAUUUCGACAGAGUAUAGCAUGAUGAUUUUAGCUGGUCAGGGAGGUCAGGAAUAACUACCACAAUGGGAAAACCACUUUCUGGGAUAUGGGCAAGUAUUAAUUAGGGUUCUUCAAAGAAGCAGAACCAAUAUGAUGUAUGAGAGAGAUUUUUACUUUAAGGAAUUGGCUCAUACAACUGCGUGAGAUGUCAAGUCCAAAAUCCGCAAGAUAGGCUGGCAGGCUGGAGACCUGGGAAAGAGGUGAUGUUGUAGUUUGAGUCCAAAGGCAGUCUGGAGGCAGAAUUCCCUCUUCUUUAGAGGAAUCAGGUCUCUUAUUUGCAAAAGCCUUCAACUGAUUGGAUAAGACCCAAUCACAUUAGGGUAAUCUGCUUUAUUC
ensembl:lncRNA